rnacentral:rRNA from 1 species
UGGGGAAUUGUUCGCAAUGGGCGAAAGCCUGACGACGCAACGCCGCGUGGAGGACGAAAACCUUCGGGUCGUAAACUCCUGUCGAGUGGGACGAAUACUACCUGGGUUAAUAACUCAGGUGGCUGACGGUACCGCUAAAGGAAGCCCCGGCUAACUCCGUGCCAGCAGCCGCGGUAAUACGGGGGGGGCAAGCGUUGUUCGGAUUUACUGGGCGUAAAGAGCUCGUAGGCGGCUUGCUUAGUCGAACGUGAAAUCCCUUGGCUCAACUGAGGAACUGCGUCCGAUACUGGCAGGCUUGAAUCCGGGAGAGGGAUGCGGAAUUCCAGGUGUAGCGGUGAAAUGCGUAGAUAUCUGGAGGAACACCGGUGGCGAAGGCGGCAUCCUGGACCGGCAUUGACGCUGAGGAGCGAAAGCCAGGGUAGCAAACGGG